GUGAAGCUGGAUUCGCUAGUAAUCGCGCAUCAGCCAUGGCGCGGUGAAUACGUUCCCGGGCCUUGUACACACCGCCCGUCAAGCCAUGGGAGCCGGGGUGCUUGAAGUGCGUCGCCGCAAGGCGCGCCCUAGAGCAAAACCGGUGACUGGGGCUAAGUCGUAACAAGGUAAC
rnacentral:rRNA from 1 species